CCCACCCCGCCCGUGUUUUGACUUGGGAUUGACUCUGAGCUCUUUGUCCCUAAUAGAACCGAGCUAUUCAAAGCAAAAUGCAAAUGUGGGUGAAGCCAGCGAGGAGCUCCGGGCGCGGAGGGUACUCGUGGGCAGGAUUUGGGAAGCCCACCUCCCCAGGGGUCUUAGGGAGCGAGGCCUGCUGGAAGACAUUGAGAAGGUUCCAUGUCGUUUAUAGACGAGCACUCACAGCAAAGCUUCCACUGUAGAUGCUGCAGUGAAUUUGCUGCAGCAACAGAAGAACCAGCCUUCACUCUGCCAGCAUUUCUAAGAGCCAAACUGAGCCACUAAAAGUUGCAACGAGAAAAAAGGGAAACUCCUAAUACUGAAUGCCCUCCCAGGAAGGGAUCAACUGGGGGCUUUGCUCCAGAUUGAGGUUGGCAGCUUUACUCCCACCUUGACAGCUCUUUGUGGCCUCAGAUGAUUCAGGGGUAUCGGUAGCAGAGAUGCUGUUACUCUUUCGUUCUAAUAAUCUUACAUUAAAAGAAGAGGGAAAAGGGUAAAUGUGUUAAAACAAACAAUUCUUUUUUUACUCAACAAUCUCAAUGAAAAACUGCUACCAUUGAAUUCUCAAAAAUCCCAUUCUUAUUCAAGAAAAACCAUAAUCCUUCCCUGGGUGUGUCCUGGGGAGGCUGGGCUCUGCCAUUUACCAAGCAGCUUGGUGCCAGCACCUAUGGGUUAAGUUUUUGGGAGGCUUAUUAGGACAUAAAUGAAGCACCUUAAAUAUAGCUCAGAUUUAAAACACACCCUCUGCCCUAAAAUAUGGUUGAAGUAGGGACCUCCAGACGAAUAGCCCAACCUUGCCCCGCAAGAGCUCAGAUUUGACCUCUAUGCCCACGUGGCAGGAUCAGACUCCUUGCCUUGUUCUUGAUUUUAAAGAGAAACAAUCCAGUAUUUCACCUUGAUGUAUGGUUUUCAUAUAGGUUUUUCAUAGUUUACAUGAAAAGGGUCUUGAAGACUUUGGGAUCAAUUUUCAGGAGUUUUCUGGGAAUUUAAUACAUGCUUACUUUAAAAAGCAAGGUGUGGGGGCUCCAGGGUGGCUCAGUCAGUUAAGCAUCUGCCUUUGGCUCAGGUCAUGAUCCUGAACAGGGAGCCUGUUUCUCCCUCUUCCUCUG